GAAAAAAACAAACAAACGGUUUUCGUGUCCAACUUUAAUUGUCCGUCUUAUAUAAAAUUAUUUUAUAAUUCGUAUUUUUAUUAUUGUUAGAUGAUAAAAUAUGAUUAAUAUUUUAUGCGUGACUUGUCUUUUUAAUUUUUUUUAUAAUUUUUUCAAAUAAGACGGAUAGUUAAACAUUGGACACGGAAAUCAGGGUCUGUGUUUUUU
rfam:Oryza nivara chromosome 4, whole genome shotgun sequence.